UAGGGAAUCUUCCACAAUGGACGAAAGUCUGAUGGAGCAACGCUGCGUGAGUGAUGAAGGGUUUCGGCUCGUAAAACUCUGUUGUUGGAGAAGAACGGGUGUCAGAGUAACUGUUGACAUCGUGACGGUAUCCAACCAGAAAGCCACGGCUAACUACGUGCCAGCAGCCGCGGUAAUACGUAGGUGGCAAGCGUUGUCCGGAUUUAUUGGGCGUAAAGCGAGCGCAGGCGGUUUUUUAGGUCUGAUGUGAAAGCCUUCGGCUUAACC
rnacentral:rRNA from 1 species